rnacentral:rRNA from 1 species
CGUAGGUGGCAAGCGUUGUCCGGAAUUAUUGGGCGUAAAGCGCGCGCAGGCGGCUUCUUAAGUCCAUCUUAAAAGUGCGGGGCUUAACCCCGUGAUGGGAUGGAAACUGAGAGGCUGGAGUAUCGGAGAGGAAAGUGGAAUUCCUAGUGUAGCGGUGAAAUGCGUAGAGAUUAGGAAGAACACCGGUGGCGAAGGCGACUUUCUGGACGACAACUGACGCUGAGGCGCGAAAGCGUUGGGGAGCAAACAGGAGUUAAGAU